GCCUGCCUAGCUCAAUCGGAUAGAGCGUCAGACUCUUAAAGAGUUUGUUCUCGGCAGGAAUCUGAAGGCUGCGAGUUCGACCCUCGCGGUGGGCU